rnacentral:hammerhead_ribozyme from 1 species
AUCCAGACGACGAGUCCCAAGUAGGACGAAAUGCGCGUUAUCCUGGAU